rnacentral:lncRNA from 9 species
CUUGGAAGCUGGGGAGCCGGGCACCUACUGGUCCAGUCCAGGAGAGGACGGAGGAGGGAUGGACUGGCUCUGCUGCAUCCCGCUCUCCCGAGGCCGAGGCCGAGGCCGAGGCCGCAGGCGUCGUCACGGCAGAGAUGGCCUCUGCCAGGCCUGCAGAACCUGGAUGAGAACGCGAGGCGGACGCCUAUGGGCCGUUGCCCGCAGGGACCCAGAGAGUCCCCCACCUGAGACCCGCCAGGAACAGGGUGAGGAAGGCAGAAGGCCACCUGAGGAACCUCCACACAGACUGCUCCCCGGGGUCCUCUGCCGGGCUGGUCGGGAGCACAGGAGCGCCAGCUGUGGCCAUGAAGACACCGUCCACAUGAGCCUGACAACCCUGGAAGGCCUGGCCCCCCCUGAGGCCCAGCCUGAAGGAGACCUGGCAUCAGAGGCUAAGACCCCAGCCGAGCGGAAAGACCCUGGAGCAGCCCCCAGAGGAGGUCCAGAACCACAGGAGGACUCAGCACCCGGGCAGGGAGGACCUGUAGCUCUUUCAGAGGGACACUCACGUCCUCAUGGGGACUCACCCCCCGGGGAGAAUGAACACUCUGCUCCUCUCCCAAGAGGCCCAGCUCCUCUUGAGGAGCCACCACCCGGGCAGGGUGGAACCAAGGCGCCUCCUGCAGGAGGGCCAGGCCCCCAUGAAGACUCAACUCAUGGGCAGGAUCAACCUGCUGCUCCUCCUGAUGGAGGACCAGAGCCUCCUGAGUUCUCACCUCCCGGGCAGGAUGAAAAUCCUGCUCUUCCUACAGGAGGACGAGGCUCUCAGGAGGACUCACGAGCCGGGCGAGAUGAAAAUCCUGCUCCUCCUCCUGGAGGACGAGGCUCUCAGGAGGACUCAGGAGCCAGGCGGGAUGAAAAUCCUGCUCCUCCUCCUGGAGGACGAGGCUCUCAGGAGGACUCAGGAGCCGGGCAGGAUGAAAAUCCUGCUCCUCCUCCUGGAGGACGAGGCUCUCAGGAGAACUCACUAGCUGGGCGGGAUGACAAUGCUUCUCCUCCUCCUGGAGGACAAGGCUCUCAGGUGGACUCACCAGCCAGGCAGAAUGAAAAUCCUGCUCCUCCUCCUGGAGGACGCGGCUCUCAGAAGGACUCAUCAGCCGGGAAGGAUGAAAAUCUGGAUAAUCCUCCUGGAGGACGAGGCUCUCUGGAGGACUCAUCAGCUGGGCAGGAUGAAAAACCUGCUCCUCCUCCCAGAGGAGGAGGCUCUCAGGAGGACUCAGCAGCCGGGCAGGAUGAAAAUUCUGCUCCUCCUCCUGGAGGACGAGGCUCUCAGAAGGGCUCAUCACCCGGGAAGGAUGAAAAUCUGGAAAAUCCUCCUGGAGGACGAUGCUCUCUGGAGGUGUCACCAGCUGGGCAGGAUGAAAAUGCUGCUCUUCCUCCUGGAGGACCAGGCUCUCAGGAGGACUCACGUGGCGGGCAGGUUGAAAAUCUGGCUAAUCCUCCUGGAGGACGAGGCUCUCCUGAGGACUCUCUUGCUGGGCAGCUUGAAAAUCCUGCUCCUCCUCCAGGAGGACGAGGCUCUCAUGUGGAAUCACUUGCUGGGCAGGAUGAAAAUCCGGCUAAUCCUUCUGGAGGACGAGGCUCUCCCGAGGACUCACUAGCUGGGCAGGAUGAGAAUCCUGCUAGUCCUCCAGAAGUCUCCCGUCCACUCGAUCACUCGCCAGCCCUGCAGGGGGCACUUGGCGCUGCUCUGGCCGAAUUCCCGGACACUGAUGUGCCUCUCCCUGUGCUAGAUGGCAACGUUGCCCCGGCCUCUGCUGGGGACAAAGGGCCCGAGGAGCAUUCAGCAGCCCUUUGGGGAGUGCCUGCCCUGACUGCUCCCGCACCCCCUGUACCAGGUCCUGGCCUGGCUCUUUCAAGAACCCUCGGCCCAGUUCCAAAACCACCUUCCCCAAGGUCCCCUCCGCCCCUGCCAGUGCCCUCCCCAUCAGCUUCCCCCAAACCCCAUCCCCUUGCUCCCCCUCCUGACAUGGACUCUCCUUCCCCUCUCCUGAUUUCUCUUGGGAGAUGUGUCCAAUUUCUCUUUCUGAUUCAUGUCAUUUAUGCUAUAGUUCACUUUGUGUUUUGAGCCUAGUGUUGUUAGAACGUUGAAACAAAGUAACAAUAAAAGAAGGAAGUAGUUAUUGAUAGGGAAGUAAUAAAAAGCCC